rnacentral:rRNA from 1 species
AUUGAACGCUGGCGGCAGGCCUAACACAUGCAAGUCGAACGGGUGGCGGACGGGUGAGUAAUGUCUGGGAAACUGCCUGAUGGAGGGGGCUAACUACUGGAAACGUUAGCUACUACCGCAUAACAUCCGAUGUGCCCAGAUGGGAUUAGCUAGUUGGUGGGGUAACGGCUCACCAAGGCGACGAUCCCUAGCUGGUCUGAGAGGAUGACCAGCCACACUGGAACUGAGACACGGUCCAGACUCCUACGGGAGGCAGCAGUAGGGAAUAUUGCACAAUGGGCGCAAGCCUGAUGCAGCCAUGCCGCGUGUAUGAAGAAGGCCUUCGGGUUGUAAAGUACUUUUAGCGGGGAGGCGUUACCCGCAGAGGAAGCACCGGCUAACUACGUGCCAGCAGCCGCGGUAAUUC